AGUUGACAUAAGUUGAAAGUUAUAAAGGAUUUCAUCAAAAUUUCAGUGAAUAUCAAAAUUGAUAAAAUGUCAACCUACUUACAUCCGUCUCUUUCCAAUGCUUGGGUAGAAGUUUAUUCUUAAAAAUUUUUCCAUAUCUGUCAGAUCGAGACAAAUGUAUUUUGGAAGAGGAAGAAAAGUUAAUAUAAAAGUGAUUCAAAAGGGUGUAUAAAUGUAUAUUGAGGGAUGAUAAAUCACGAAUUCCUAUCGGAAAAAGAGCGGUGGAAAAACAAGCACCUAUUAUUCACCAUUAACGUACCGAGUGCGAUUGCCUGAUCAUGAUUGGGUCGUUGCUGAAAGACACACAUUAAUUUCCUUCCUUGCACGCAGGUAUUCCAAUUACAGAUGCAAAAAUAGACAAUACUGAAGAGGUGACAUAUACUGGCCCAACUUACAUCAAAAUUCGUUUUGAGAAGCAUUCGUCAUUUUCUGCAGAUUCUCAUGGUAAUGAUUGUAAAAGAUCUUGCUUCGAAAAGAUCUUUCGAACUGUGUGAUACUUGCGUUUCCACAAUUCGAGAACUUAGCGAAAACUACAGAAGGCUUGAUUAAUGAGAUAUGAUAAUGAAACUACAGAAGGCAUGAUUAAAGCUGUUAAGAUCCUGACCAUCGAUGGAGAGCCAGAUGAAAACCCACGAUUCCCGCUUGCUUGAUAGCUUGCUUGAGUUAUCAAACAAGUUAUUUAUUAUUUGAAACCCUAUGACCUCCACUACCGCUCAAAAGUAUUUGCCUACAUAUGACUGUUUUAAAGUUAUAACUAAAAAUAAUAAACCCAUCAGUUAUUCUUAUAAAA